rnacentral:rRNA from 1 species
CCUACGGGAGGCUGCAGUGGGGGAUAUUGCACAAUGGGGGAAACCCUGAUGCAGCAACGCCGCGUGAGUGAAGAAGUAUUUCGGUAUGUAAAGCUCUAUCAGCAGGGAAGAGAAUGACGGUACCUGACUAAGAAGCCCCGGCUAACUACGUGCCAGCAGCCGCGGUAAUACGUAGGGGGCGAGCGUUAUCCGGAUUUACUGGGUGUAAAGGGAGCGUAGACGGCUGGUCAAGUCUGAAGUGAAAGCCCGGGGCUUAACCCCGGAACGGCUUUGGAAACUGAGCAGCUAGAGUGCAGGAGAGGUAAGCGGAAUUCCUAGUGUAGCGGUGAAAUGCGUAGAUAUUAGGAAGAACACCAGUGGCGAAGGCGGCUUACUGAACAGUAACUGACGUUGAGGCUCGAAAGCGUGGGGAGCAAACAGGAUUAGAUACCCGGGUAGUC